AACUCUUGGAUUUUAAACCAAGUGGUUUCAUUACACUCUUUUCCUAAAAACCUUGGAUUUCAAACCAAGAGAUUUUUAUCAUUCAAACCAUUUUUACAAAAAACCUUGGACUUCAAACCAAGUGUUCGCGCCUCUUUUUUCUAAAUCAAACUCAAUCAAUCAAACUUCUUUUUUUCUUAAACUCUUGGAUUUUAAACCAAGUGGUUUCAUCACACUCUUUUCCUAAAAAUCUUGGACUUCAAACCAAGAGACUUUUAUCAUUCAAAUCAUUUUCACAAUAAACCUUGGACUUCAAACCAAGCGAUCGCGCCUCUUUUUCUAAAUCAAACAUCAAUCAAUCCUAAUCAUUUAGACUUUCUUUCACCAAAACUAAAAUUAAC
rnacentral:lncRNA from 1 species